GACGAACGCUGGCGGCGUGCCUAAUACAUGCAAGUCGAGCGGACAGAUGGGAGCUUGCUCCCUGAUGUUAGCGGCGGACGGGUGAGUAACACGUGGGUAACCUGCCUGUAAGACUGGGAUAACUCCGGGAAACCGGGGCUAAUACCGGAUGGUUGUUUGAACCGCAUGGUUCAGACAUAAAAGGUGGCUUCGGCUACCACUUACAGAUGGACCCGCGGCGCAUUAGCUAGUUGGUGAGGUAACGGCUCACCAAGGCGACGAUGCGUAGCCGACCUGAGAGGGUGAUCGGCCACACUGGGACUGAGACACGGCCCAGACUCCUACGGGAGGCAGCAGUAGGGAAUCUUCCGCAAUGGACGAAAGUCUGACGGAGCAACGCCGCGUGAGUGAUGAAGGUUUUCGGAUCGUAAAGCUCUGUUGUUAGGGAAGAACAAGUGCCGUUCAAAUAGGGCGGCACCUUGACGGUACCUAACCAGAAAGCCACGGCUAACUACGUGCCAGCAGCCGCGGUAAUACGUAGGUGGCAAGCGUUGUCCGGAAUUAUUGGGCGUAAAGGGCUCGCAGGCGGUUUCUUAAGUCUGAUGUGAAAGCCCCCGGCUCAACCGGGGAGGGUCAUUGGAAACUGGGGAACUUGAGUGCAGAAGAGGAGAGUGGAAUUCCACGUGUAGCGGUGAAAUGCGUAGAGAUGUGGAGGAACACCAGUGGCGAAGGCGACUCUCUGGUCUGUAACUGACGCUGAGGAGCGAAAGCGUGGGGAGCGAACAGGAUUAGAUACCCUGGUAGUCCACGCCGUAAACGAUGAGUGCUAAGUGUUAGGGGGUUUCCGCCCCUUAGUGCUGCAGCUAACGCAUUAAGCACUCCGCCUGGGGAGUACGGUCGCAAGACUGAAACUCAAAGGAAUUGACGGGGGCCCGCACAAGCGG
rnacentral:rRNA from 1 species